GGCUUUGAGGGUGAUCUAGCUGCCUCAUUGUCACCUCAUCUGUCACCUCAUGGAUUGCCAGGGUUGAUUCGGCUGAUUAGGCGGGUGUCCUCUUCCUCCCUCACCAAUCCAUGUGCAUCCCUUCCAAAGCUGCACCCUCAGUCAAAGAGGACGACCUUCCCCUGAAUAGAGGAGGACUGGUCUUCAGUCAAGGGUAUACAAGUAGCUGCGCUCCCCUGUUAAAACCUCCCAACAAACUUUCAAGACUAACAAAUGUCUUUCAUUGGAUCAGGCAUGAAGAAAUAAAAACAAAAGCUAAUAAUAUUUUUGAAUGAUAAUU
ensembl:misc_RNA 7SK 7SK RNA